UACAGAGGGCCCGAGCGUUGUUCGGAUUCACUGGGCGUAAAGGGUGCGUAGGUGGCAUAGAAAGUUUGAUGUGAAAGCUCAGGGCUUAACCCUGAAAUGGCAUUGAAUACUGCUGUGCUGGAGGUUUGGAGGGGGGACUGGAAUUCUUGGUGUAGCAGUGAAAUGCGUAGAUAUCAAGAGGAACACCAGUGGCGAAGGCGAGUCCCUGGACAACACCUGACACUGAGGCACGAAAGCCGGGGGAGCAAACAGG
rnacentral:rRNA from 1 species